CCUUUUUAUAUUAGUUACAAAUUUUAUUAAGUCUGAUAAAGUUUUUUCGUAGGUGAGACCUUUCAACAGAGGCACCACACAGGCGUCAAAAGGCAUCAUUAUGGAGUAUAGGGGGUGGCGUCAAAAGGUGUCAGUAUGGAGGAAAGGGUUAAAUCAUUGGAUGCAGUGAAUGUCUAAAUUUUCAAGUUUUUAUAUACCGGUAAUAACUACAACAAGAUGAAAUAGAAAUAAAAUAUUCUUAUAAUUUAUUUCAGUUACUCCAUAUAAAAUAGUCACCAAAAUAAAUACCUCUUUCCUGCAGGAUACUGCAAAUAAAUGUUCAGGAAUAUGCAAUUAUUUGAAAUAAUCCAUUUAUUCCUACAGGAAACUGGAAAUUAUACCUAUUAUGGUCCAAUAUCCAAAAUCUAAAUACAUGGUUAGAUUCAGAAUAUCAUAGAACCCCAAGAAUUCAAUUUUUGAUGAAAUCAAAUAAUGUUCAAUUUUACCCUUUAGAACUCAAUGUGGACCAAUUUGAU
rnacentral:lncRNA from 1 species